rnacentral:misc_RNA from 1 species
UCUGAAGGAUCCCUCAACUUCUCUGAUAUAGUCACUACUUUCCUAUAAUCCAAUGUAUUAUAGCUCCUCUCCCUAAUUACGGGGUUCAAAAAGUUCUCCGGGUGAUUGCUCAAAAGCAAAUUAAUCAAUUGCCUUAUCUCAGCAAGUGCUGCUCCCAACUGAUUUGUGUCUCCCUCGGAGAACGAAGAAGCCAGAUUAUCCGCAAAAGAUUCCAGCAGUCGGAUAUCUACAUCAAUUCCCAUGAUAGCAUUCACAUUAAACCUCUUAACAGAGUCACCAAACAAUGUCCCCACUAUUGUCUCUGAUAUAUGAAAAAGAACAUCCUGUAAAACCCUUUUAAGAACACGAACCGGCAAUAUCUGUUGAGCAGUAGAAACCAGAGUUUCCAAAUAAAUUAUGACCUCAUUCACAUAUUCAUUUCCACUCUGUAUGGGCUCAUCAGCCAUCCAGUUCACAUUCUCAAUCAAUGUCAUGAAACCAUCAGCCUUCUGUUUAAGCAACCCAGAUAGCAUCUCUUCUGCUGCAUCACGAGCUUUGUUUAGUGGAAACUGCCUCCUACACCUCUCCGCCAUUCUCAAGGGAAUACCAGAAAGCUGAGCAGCAUGACGAAAGAAGAAGUCACAAGCAUGUUCCAUCACUGCCAUAUUUGCUGCAACCUGCAUAGCUUGGGAAACCCCAUGGACUGAUGUAUUUAUAAG